GAUGAACGCUGGCGGCGUGCCUAAUACAUGCAAGUCGAGCGAACAGACGAGGAGCUUGCUCCUCUGACGUUAGCGGCGGACGGGUGAGUAACACGUGGAUAACCUACCUAUAAGACUGGGAUAACUUCGGGAAACCGGAGCUAAUACCGGAUAAUAUAUUUAACCGCAUGGUUCAAUAGUGAAAGACGGUUUUGCUGUCACUUAUAGAUGGAUCCGCGCCGCCUUAGCUAGUUGGUAAGGUAACGGCUUACCAAGGCGACGAUGCGUAGCCGACCUGAGAGGGGGAUCGGCCACACUGGAACUGAGACACGGUCCAGACUCCUACGGGAGGCAGCAGUAGGGAAUCUGCCGCAAUGGGCGAAAGCCUGACGGAGCAACGCCGCGUGAGUGAUGAAGGUCUUCGGAUCGUAAAACUCUGUUAUUAGGGAAGAACAAAUGUGUAAGUAACUAUGCACGUCUUGACGGUACCUAAUCAGAAAGCCACGGCUAACUACGUG
rnacentral:rRNA from 1 species